rnacentral:rRNA from 1 species
UUAAUUUUUUUAAUUUAAAUAGUUUAUAUUAAAGUAAAUAGUUAGGAAAUAUUUAGUUUAGAUUGUACUGAAAAGGAAAAAUUUAUUUAUUUAGGUUUAUGUUUAGUAAAAUUUAAUUUUUGUACCUUUUGCAUAAUGGUUUAAUAAUAUUAAUUGAUGUAUGUAUUUAUUUCUCGAAAUAAAAAGAUUUAUUUAUUUAUAUAUAUAGUUAACGUGGUAUAGUUAUUAUUUUAAAAUUAAAUGGUAGUGAAAUGCUAAUCGAUUUUUAUGAUAGCUAGUUUAUUGAUGUUUAUUUAAGUAUAAGUUAAAUUUGGAUUAUUGUGGUAAUUUGUUUUGAUUAAUAUAUGGAGGGAUAAGCUUCUUAUGUUUUGUAAAAUUAUAACUAUUAAUAUUAAAAUUUGAGUUGGAUUAAUAAUUUUUCUUGUAAGUAGUUUUUAUAAUAUUAAGUGAUAAAUUUUUAUUAUGGUAAAAUAAAUUGUUUUUAAUUUUAUAAAAUUAUAUAUAAUGUUAGAAUGAGUAUUUAUUUAUGAUUAGAAUGAAAUAUUUGAUAUAUAUAUAUAUAUAUAAAGUGUAGUUUGUAUAUUGUAAUUAUUAAAUGGAGUUAAAUGGAAUAAAGGAAUUCGGCAAAAAUUAAUUUCGCCUGUUUAUCAAAAACAUGUCUCUUUGAAUUUUUUUAAUAAAGAGUUGGGCCUGCUCGGUGAAUGUAGUUUAACAGCUGCGGUAUUAUAACUGUACUAAGGUAGCAUAAUAAUUUGCCUUAUAAAUUAGGGCUAGAAUGAAUGGUUUGACGAGAAUUUAACUGUCUCUAUUUUAUUUAUUAGAAGUUAAUUUUUAUAGUGAAAAAGCUUGGAUGAUUUAAAGGGACGAGAAGACCCUAUUGAGCUUGAUAUUAAUAUUUAAAUAUAGGGUUUUAUGUUUAUAAUUAAUUAUUUAUUAUAUAAAUGUUUAUUGGAGUGUAAUUUUGAUUGGGGUGAUCAAGGAAUAAAAAUUUAAUUUUGUAACUUCCUUAAAGUAGAUUUAUUUUAUUGAAUAAUAAACCAAAAUUUUUUGCUUAUAUGAUAAGUUACCAUAGGGGUAACAGCGUAAUUUUUUUUAAGAGUUCAUAUUGAAAAAAAAGAUUGCGACCUCGAUGUUGGAUUAAAAAUAACCUUAAGGUGUAGAGGCUUUAUUAGGUGAAUCUGUUCGAUUUUUAAAAUUUUACAUGAUCUGAGUUCAAACCGGUGAAAGCCAGGUUGGUUUUUAUCUUUUAAAUUUUAUUUUUAAUUUAAUUUAGUACGAAAGGAUUGAUUAUAAUUAAUUAUUAAGUAUUAAUUAGAAUAAA